AUUGAACGCUGGCGGCAUGCCUUACACAUGCAAGUCGAACGGUAACAGGUCUUCGGAUGCUGACGAGUGGCGAACGGGUGAGUAAUACAUCGGAACGUGCCUAGUAGUGGGGGAUAACUACUCGAAAGAGUGGCUAAUACCGCAUGAGAUCUACGGAUGAAAGCAGGGGAUCGCAAGACCUUGUGCUACUAGAGCGGCCGAUGGCAGAUUAGGUAGUUGGUGGGAUAAAAGCUUACCAAGCCGACGAUCUGUAGCUGGUCUGAGAGGACGAUCAGCCACACUGGGACUGAGACACGGCCCAGACUCCUACGGGAAGCAGCAGUGGGGAAUUUUGGACAAUGGGCGCAAGCCUGAUCCAGCCAUGCCGCGUGCAGGAUGAAGGCCUUCGGGUUGUAAACUGCUUUUGUACGGAACGAAAAGACUCUGGUUAAUACCUGGGGUCCAUGACGGUACCGUAAGAAUAAGCACCGGCUAACUACGUGCCAGCAGCCGCCGUAAGAC
rnacentral:rRNA from 1 species